rnacentral:rRNA from 1 species
UUGGAGGGCAAGUCUGGUGCCAGCAGCCGCGGUAAUUCCAGCUCCAAUAGCGUAUAUUUAAGUUGUUGCAGUUAAAAAGCUCGUAGUUGAAUUUCGGGAUCAGUUGGUCGGUCGUGCCUCGGUACGUACUGGUCAAAUUGAUUCCUACCUUCUGACGAACCACGAUGUCAUUAAUUUGGUGUCGCGGGAAAUCAGGACUGUUACUUUGAAAAAAUUAGAGUGUUUAAAGCAGGCUCGCGCUUGAAUACAUUAGCAUGGAAUAAUGAAAUAGGACGUUUGAUUCUAUUUUGUUGGUUUCUAGGAUCGACGUAAUGAUUAAUAGGGAUAGUUGGGGGCAUUAGUAUUCAAUUGUCAGAGGUGAAAUUCUUGGGUUUAUUGAAGACUAACUACUGCGAAAGCAUUUGCCAAGGAUGUUUUCAUUAAUCAAGAACGAAAGUUAGGGGAUCGAAGACGAUCAGAUACCGUCGUAGUCUUAACCAUAAACUAUGCCGACUAGGGAUCGGAUGAUGUUAAUUUUUUAAUGACUCAUUCGGCGCCUUACGGGAAACCAAAGUGUUUGGGUUC